rnacentral:rRNA from 1 species
AGAGUUUGAUCAUGGCUCAGGACGAACGCUGGCGGCGUGCUUAACACAUGCAAGUCGAACGGUAAGGCCCUUCGGGGUACACGAGUGGCGAACGGGUGAGUAACACGUGGGUAAUCUGCCCUGCACAUCGGGAUAAGCCUGGGAAACUGGGUCUAAUACCGAAUAGGACCACAGGACACAUGUCCUGUGGUGGAAAGCUUUUGCGGUGUGGGAUGGGCCCGCGGCCUAUCAGCUUGUUGGUGGGGUGAUGGCCUACCAAGGCGACGACGGGUAGCCGGCCUGAGAGGGUGUCCGGCCACACUGGGACUGAGAUACGGCCCAGACUCCUACGGGAGGCAGCAGUGGGGAAUAUUGCACAAUGGGCGAAAGCCUGAUGCAGCGACGCCGCGUGGGGGAUGACGGCCUUCGGGUUGUAAACCUCUUUCACCAUCGACGAAGGUCCGGGUUUUCUCGGGCUGACGGUAGGUGGAGAAGAAGCACCGGCCAACUACGUGCCAGCAGCCGCGGUAAUACGUAGGGUGCGAGCGUUGUCCGGAAUUACUGGGCGUAAAGAGCUCGUAGGUGGUUUGUCGCGUUGUUCGUGAAAUCUCACGGCUUAACUGUGAGCGUGCGGGCGAUACGGGCAGACUUGAGUACUGCAGGGGAGACUGGAAUUCCUGGUGUAGCGGUGGAAUGCGCAGAUAUCAGGAGGAACACCGGUGGCGAAGGCGGGUCUCUGGGCAGUAACUGACGCUGAGGAGCGAAAGCGUGGGGAGCGAACAGGAUUAGAUACCCUGGUAGUCCACGCCGUAAACGGUGGGUACUAGGUGUGGGUUUCCUUCCUUGGGAUCCGUGCCGUAGCUAACGCAUUAAGUACCCCGCCUGGGGAGUACGGCCGCAAGGCUAAAACUCAAAGGAAUUGACGG